CCCUGCUGGCAGAGUUCUACAGCAGCUGCAGCUUAACUGACAUUGUUCUGUCCGCCAUUUUGUCAGAUCUGUGUCCCAGCAAAUAUUGACAGGCAUCUUUUAUCUGCUCUGCAAAUGUCCUCGUUAAAGCGUUAUUUAGUUUGCUGACGUGAGCAGGUGGAUGUGACUCUUUCCUCAUAUCAGAAGAAAUCCAGAAUGACUCACGAGCCAUGCUGAGGUCCUGUACUGCAGAGGUCCCAGGAACUCUCCAGACUGCAGAUCCACACCCACCUCUGGAGGGCGCUCAAACAAGCUCUCAGCCCUGGAAAGGAGAUUGCUCUGGGUUUUCUUCUUCCCUCAGUUUGAGGCGGAGCUGAUCAGCCGUACUUUCCAGUUGGCUAAUUUGCUCCGUGGCUUCA